CCUACGGGCGGCAGCAGUGAGGAAUAUUGGUCAAUGGACGAGAGUCUGAACCAGCCAAGUAGCGUGAAGGAUGACUGCCCUAUGGGUUGUAAACUUCUUUUAUAUGGGAAUAAAAUGUUCCACGUGUGGGAUUUUGUAUGUACCAUAUGAAUAAGGAUCGGCUAACUCCGUGCCAGCAGCCGCGGUAAUUCGGAGGAUCCGAGCGUUAUCCGGAUUUAUUGGGUUUAAAGGGAGCGUAGGUGGAUUGUUAAGUCAGUUGUGAAAGUUUGCGGCUCAACCGUAAAAUUGCAGUUGAAACUGGCAGUCUUGAGUACAGUAGAGGUGGGCGGAAUUCGUGGUGUAGCGGUGAAAUGCUUAGAUAUCACGAAGAACUCCGAUUGCGAAGGCAGUUCACUGGACUGCAACUGACACUGAGGCUCGAAAGUGUGGGUAUCAAACAGGAUUAGAUACCCUAGUAGUC
rnacentral:rRNA from 1 species